AACGCUAGCUACAGGCUUAACACAUGCAAGUCGAGGGGCAGCAUAAAAGUAGCAAUACUUUGGUGGCGACCGGCGCACGGGUGAGUAACGCGUAUGCAACCUACCUAUCAGAGGGGAAUAACCCGGCGAAAGUCGGACUAAUACCGCAUAAAACAGGGGCACCGCAUGGUGAUAUUUGUUAAAGAAAUUCGCUGAUAGAUGGGCAUGCGUUCCAUUAGGUAGUUGGUGAGGUAACGGCUCACCAAGCCGACGAUGGAUAGGGGAACUGAGAGGUUGGUCCCCCACACUGGUACUGAGACACGGACCAGACUCCUACGGGAGGCAGCAGUGAGGAAUAUUGGUCAAUGGGCGGGAGCCUGAACCAGCCAAGUCGCGUGAAGGAAGAAGGAUCUAUGGUUCGUAAACUUCUUUUGCAGGGGAAUAAAGUGCAGGACGUGUCCUGUUUUGUAUGUACCCUGAGAAUAAGGAUCGGCUAACUCCGUGCCAGCAGCCGCGGUAAUACGGAGGAUCCGAGCGUUAUCCGGAUUUAUUGGGUUUAAAGGGAGCGUAGGCCGUCUGUUAAGCGUGUUGUGAAAUGUAGAUGCUCAACAUCUGAAUUGCAGCGCGAACUGGCAGACUUGAGUGUGCGCAACGUAGGCGGAAUUCGUGGUGUAGCGGUGAAAUGCUUAGAUAUCACGAAGAACUCCGAUUG
rnacentral:rRNA from 1 species